ACAUAUCCAUGCAUCUUGCCGUAAUAUCUCGACUCUAUCGCUUAAUAUCUUUUUUAGGUGGCAUAUAAUCACACUGUCUAAGGACACUCGGCUCCUUGUCCAAUAUAUCCUUGAAAGGGCUCUCGUCUCGUACGCCGAGGAGGAAGCCCAAUCAAUACUAUACCUACUCUGAGGGCACUCUGAGGGACCUUCAAAACAGAUGAUGGCGGCCGUGUGGGGAGUGGAGAGAGGUAGUGGGGCGGGUCUCCACUGUGGGUAUAUAAGGACCUGCCCACCCUCAUCCUAGUACAGUCCACGUGAAGUUGUCACUUUGUGAACACCUCUCUUACAAACAUGAGAUCUGUGUGCCUGAUGUUGGUGGUGGUGGUGGUGGCCCUGGCCGCCCUGAUGGGGUCAGCCCGAGCCAUGCCUGAACCCUACGCCCUGGCCGACCCUGACCCCGCGGCUGACCCACAAUUUGAAGAGCUUCACAAUUUUGGUCGGGGAUUCCUUCGGGGUCUCCUUCGCAGUAUUGGAACCCACAGAAUAUAAUUAACCUUAUAACCUGCUUCCCGUGACCAACAGUUUCCUCCCAGUCGAAGGAUUUUGUUUGGUAAACGACCAACCAAAUUUUUACUAACAACUACCAACUUUUGUCUACUGGAGGAAGCUGGAUGAAACUACUGACGCAGCUUUCUCUUGUCUUCUGAAUCUCCAGCAUCUCUCAAACCUUCAGAAUCUCCAGCAUCUCUCAAACCUUCAGAAUCUCCAGCAUCUCUCAAACCUUCAGAAUCUCCCCAAAUUACAGCAUGUCUCCAACCUCCAGCAUCUUCUAAUCUCAAGCAACUUCCCAAUCUUCAGCAUCUUAAACGUCCAGCACCUCCAGCAUGGUUGCUAGCUGUUUUGUAGUUACCAACUGUCAGAUGAAUUCUUUAUGAAAUACAUCUAUUUUCAUA